rnacentral:tRNA from 1 species
GGCCUCUUAGCUCAGCCGGUAGAGUGUACAGAGGCGUAGGUGAGGUUCAAGCGUGGGUUCAAAUCUUACAGAGACUG